UACGUAGGGGGCAAGCGUUGUCCGGAAUCAUUGGGCGUAAAGAGCGUGUAGGCGGCCUGAAAGGUCAGCUGUGAAAACUCGAGGCUCAACCUCGAGACGUCGGUUGAAACCAUCUGGCUAGAGUCCGGAAGAGGAGUGUGGAAUUCCCGGUGUAGCGGUGAAAUGCGCAGAUAUCGGGAAGAACACCUAUGGCGAAGGCAGCUCUCUGGGACGGUACUGACGCUGAGACGCGAAAGCGUGGGGAGCGAACAGG
rnacentral:rRNA from 1 species